CUACGGGUUGCUCCAGUGGGGAAUAUUGCACAAUGGAGGAAACUCUGAUGCAGCAACGCCGCGUGGAGGAUGACACUUUUCGGAGCGUAAACUCCUUUUAUAUAGGAAGAAGAUGACGGUACUAUAUGAAUAAGCGCCGGCUAACUCCGUGCCAGCAGCCGCGGUAAUACGGAGGGCGCAAGCGUUACUCGGAAUCACUGGGCGUAAAGAGCGUGUAGGCGGAUUAAAAAGUCAGAAGUGAAAUCCUAUAGCUUAACUAUAGAACUGCUUCUGAAACUCUUAAUCUAGAAUAUGGGAGAGGUAGAUGGAAUUUCUGGUGUAGGGGUAAAAUCCGUAGAGAUCAGAAGGAGUACCGAUUGCGAAGGCGAUCUACUAGAACAUUAUUGACGCUGAGACGCGAAAGCGUGGGGAGCAAACAGGAUUAGAUACCCGGGUAGUC
rnacentral:rRNA from 1 species